rnacentral:rRNA from 1 species
GCAGCCUGCCAAGCCAUGACUGACGCUGAUGCACGAAAGCGUGGGGAUCAAACAGGAUUAGAUACCCUGGUAGUCCACGCAGUAAACGAUGAUCACUAGCUGUUUGCGAUACACAGUAAGCGGCACAGCGAAAGCGUUAAGUGAUCCACCUGGGGAGUACGCCGGCAACGGUGAAACUCAAAGGAAUUGACGGGGGCCCGCACAAGCGGAGGAACAUGUGGUUUAAUUCGAUGAUACGCGAGGAACCUUACCCGGGUUUGAACGCAUUCGGACCGAGGUGGAAACACCUUUUCUAGCAAUAGCCGUUUGCGAGGUGCUGCAUGGUUGUCGUCAGCUCGUGCCGUGAGGUGUCGGCUUAAGUGCCAUAACGAGCGCAACCCUUGCCACUAGUUACUAACAGGUGAUGCUGAGGACUCUGGUGGGACUGCCAGCGUAAGCUGCGAGGAAGGCGGGGAUGACGUCAAAUCAGCACGGCCCUUACAUCCGGGGCGACACACGUGUUACAAUGGCGUGGACAAAGGGAGGCCACCUGGCGACAGGGAGCGAAUCCCCAAACCACGUCUCAGUUCGGAUCGGAGUCUGCAACCCGACUCCGUGAAGCUGGAUUCGCUAGUAAUCGCGCAUCAGCCAUGGCGCGGUGAAUACGUUCCCGGGCCUUGUACACACCGCCCGUCAAGCCAUGGGAGCCGGGGGUACCUGAAGUCCGUAACCGCGAGGAUCGGCCUAGGGUAAAACUGGUGACUGGGGCUAAGUCGUAACAAGGUAGCCGUACCGGAAGGUGCGGCUG